UACGUAGGGGGCAAGCGUUGUCCGGAUUUAUUGGGCGUAAAGAGCGUGUAGGCGGCCAGAUAGGUCUGUUGUGAAAACUCGAGGCUCAACCUCGAGACGCCGAUGGAAACCAUUUGGCUAGAGUCCGGAAGAGGAGAGUGGAAUUCCUGGUGUAGCGGUGAAAUGCGCAGAUAUCAGGAAGAACACCCGUGGCUAAGGCGGCUCUCUAGUACGGUACUGACGCUGAGACGCGAAAGCGUGGGGAGCGAACAGGG
rnacentral:rRNA from 1 species